CCUACGGGAGGCAGCAGUAGGGAAUAUUGCUCAAUGGGGGAAACCCUGAAGCAGCAACGCCGCGUGGAGGAUGAAGGUUUUCGGAUUGUACACUCCUUUUGUUAGAGAAGAUAAUGACGGUAUCUAACGAAUAAGCACCGGCUAACUCCGUGCCAGCAGCCGCGGUAAUACGGAGGGUGCAAGCGUUACUCGGAAUCACUGGGCGUAAAGAGCGCGUAGGCGGGAUAGCAAGUCAGAUGUGAAAUCCUAUGGCUUAACCAUAGAACUGCAUUUGAAACUGUUAUUCUAGAGUGUGGGAGAGGUAGGUGGAAUUCUUGGGGUAGGGGUAAAAUCCGUAGAGAUCAAGAGGAAUACUCAUUGCGAAGGCGACCUGCUAGAACAUAACUGACGCUGAUGCGCGAAAGCGUGGGGAGCAAACAGGAGUAGAUACCCCAGUAGUC
rnacentral:rRNA from 1 species